CAUACGACCGUACCGCAAACCGACACUGGUGCGCGAGAUGAGUAUUCUAAGGCGCUUGAGAGAACUCAGGAGAAGGAACUCGGCAAAUUGACACCGUAACUUCGGAAGAAGGUGUGCCCUAUUAGUGUGUAGUGAACAACGAAGCAUGAAUGGGUUGCAAAAAAUCGGUGGCUGCGACUGUUUAUUAAAAACACAGCACUCUGCAAACACGAAAGUGGACGUAUAGGGUGUGACGCCUGCCCGGUGCUGGAAGAUUAAAUGAUGGGGUGCAAGCUCUUGAUUGAAGUCCCAGUAAACGGCGGCCGUAACUAUAACGGUCCUAAGGUAGCGAAAUUCCUUGUCGGGUAAGUUCCGACCUGCACGAAUGGCGUAACGAUGGCCACACUGUCUCCUCCUGAGACUCAGCGAAGUUGAAAUGUUUGUGAUGAUGCAAUCUCCCCGCGGAAAGACGGAAAGACCCCAUGAACCUUUACUGUAGCUUUGUAUUGGACUUUGAACAGAUCUGUGUAGGAUAGGUGGGAGGCUUUGAAGCAGGGUCGCUAGAUCUUGUGGAGCCAACUUUGAAAUACCACCCUGGUGUGUUUGAGGUUCUAACCUAGGUCCAUUAUCUGGAUCGGGGACAGUGCAUGGUAGGCAGUUUGACUGGGGCGGUCUCCUCCCAAAGCGUAACGGAGGAGUUCGAAGGUACGCUAGUUACGGUCGGACAUCGUGACGAUAGUGCAAUGGCAUAAGCGUGCUUAACUGCGAGACUGACAAGUCGAGCAGAUGCGAAAGCAGGACAUAGUGAUCCGGUGGUUCUGUAUGGAAGGGCCAUCGCUCAACGGAUAAAAGGUACUCUGGGGAUAACAGGCUGAUACCGCCCAAGAGUUCAUAUCGACGGCGGUGUUUGGCACCUCGAUGUCGGCUCAUCUCAUCCUGGGGCUGUAGCCGGUCCCAAGGGUAUGGCUGUUCGCCAUUUAAAGAGGUACGUGAGCUGGGUCUAAAACGUCGUGAGACAGUUUGGUCCCUAUCUUCCGUGGGCGCUGCAGAUUUGAGGAAGCCUGCUCCUAGUACGAGAGGACCGGAGUGGACACACCUCUGGUGUAUCGGUUGUCACGCCAGUGGCAUUGCCGAGUAGCUAAGUGUGGAAGAGAUAACCGCUGAAAGCAUCUAAGCGGGAAACUCGUUUCAAGAUGAGAUCUGCCGGGGCCUUGAGCCCCCUAAAGAGUCGUUCAAGACCAGGACGUUGAUAGGUCAGGUGUGGAAGCUAAAAAAAAAU
rnacentral:rRNA from 1 species